GUUUGCAACAGAGACCAGAAAGGACUAAAAUGUCUGGGCCUUUGCAGAAAAGUCUGUGAAUCUCUGGCGUUGAGUAAUUCUGUAAUAUCAGCUCAUUUCAGCAUACAUCUUAUGAUCAGGAGAGUUUAAUACGGAAGAAGAAUGAUACUAGAUCCAUUUUUGAUGUCACACACACAAAAAAAAACACAAGCCAACAGAUUCUCCUUCAGUUCCUUAUCUCAGUAAAUGGCACCCUCAUCAUCCAGGCAGAAUCCAGGAAAAGAUUCUUCCCUCCUUCCCAUCUAUUGUAUCCAAAUCAUCAUUGAGGGCUCCUUGAUUUUGCCUUCCUGACAUCACUCUCUUCUAGAAACUGCUCUCUUCACUGCCACAGCAUUACUGCCACCUUUACUUCAAUUGCAUUAAGGAAAGUAUUCUUCGAAUUGCAUUAUCUUGUCUCUACUCAGUUUUUAGUAAAUCCUCCACUCUGGACACAGUGUGGCUUUUAAAAAAGACUCCCUGGAUCAGGCCACCUUUGCACAGAAUAUUUCAGUGGCUUUUCACAGCCCCUACCAUCAGGUAAAAGUAAGCCUCCUCCAUAGGACAUACGAUCUGUGCAGUGAGUUGUCCUAUGAAAAUUCGGCAUUGGCUACGUAUGUGCAAAGACUAACUCAGAAGUUUUGGAGAUGUCACCUCCUGGUUGAUCAGAAAAAGGAGGAAUGAUUAAAUGGAUCAAGACCAAGAAGAAGCAACCCAGUGAAAUUCAGGAAACCAGGAAGAAAGUGCUGUCGGAGGCCAAAGCAGAGAUAAUUUGAAGUGAUAUGGGUUUAAAUGCUUCCAUCAGAAUGAAUGAGGAUUUAUAGUCCCUGGGUGUAGCACGUGGGAGGUACCUUGGGGAAACAAUUUGAAAAGAAGAAAAAAGCACCACCUGCUGGCCAGGGAUUGAAGGAGGGGGAAUUAGGAAAUGAUAAGAUGAAAUGUAUAUUAUCCCACUGGGACUCCUGAUGGGAGAGAGAGAAAAAAGUGGCCAGGGAGGAUUCAGGACAGAGGUUGGUUAUAAGAAGCACAGGUGAGCCAAGGCAUGCUGGCUCACACCUGUAACCCUCAAACUUUGGGAGGCUGGAGUGGGUGGAUCACCUGAGGUCAGGAGUUCAAGAUCAGCCUAGCCAACAUGGCAAAACCAUCUCUGAUAAAAAUAUAAAACUUAGCCAGACGUGAUAAUGCAUGCCUGUAAUUCCAGCUACCCUGGAGGCUGAGGCAGGAGAAUCACUUGAACCUAAGGGGCGGAGGUUGCAGUGAGCCAAGAUCAUACCACUUCACUCCAGCCUGGGUGAAAGAGUAGAAAUCAGUGUCAAAACAAAACAAAAAAAAGAAGCUGCCUCAUAAUUCUGACUUCUGAAACCUCCAGUGAAGCUGCAAAAACACCAAUUAUUCUUCUGCUUAAGUGCUCAGCUAAAUUCCUCCUGUUGUAAAAAUAUCUUGCCUGUGGUUUUUGUACUUAUAAUAUCAUUUGUACAAAUACAUGGAUUUCUGAGGUGA
rnacentral:lncRNA from 10 species